rfam:Meiothermus ruber DSM 1279 genome.
ACCAAGUUCGGAGGUGAUGAUCCGUGAUUCCCAAUCUGGGCACCAAGGGAAACGGGGAGCCAGUGGUGCAACCGGCCGAACCCAAA